UAUAACGUUGCCAUCUCGACCCUGAUGCCCAUGAACACAAAUGACGAGUUUAAGACAAACCAAUGGCGGAAUGGAAUUGAUUAAUGGAAUAAAAUAUUUAUUAUGUAUGGACACUAAGUUUUAUGGUUAGACUUUAGCCUAAAAAAACAUGCGCGCUGAUUACAAUUUUGGCAGUCAUAUCUGAAUGGCUCAAAAACUGGUUAUAUUUCUUUAACUUUUGGUAUACUUAAAUUCGGGCUAUUAUUUAAUAUAUAUAUUGAUCAACAGCGGCGAUAAAAAUCAUUAGUCUCGACAAUGACUAGUUGUCAGUGAAAGUCUCUCAGGGGAGCCAGGCGGCUCUGUGAAUAAAGAGCUGGCUUGAACGCCUCGUGUUCAUUAGCCUGAAUAGUGAAGGAAUGCGGGUCAUUAAACCCCAAUUUCAUUUCAUAAAUCACUCGGCUCAAUAAUGAGCUACUCGGGUUGGUUAGAUCCACGCCUUAAUGCAUAUACAACCAAUAGAGAAAUAGGUCAAAUAUGGCGACAAUGAUCAACUUGCUCUUCUUCUACUAAAUUAAAGAUUCGUGUGGAGAUUCUGUCGAUAUAAUCAUAUAUUUAUAUCUGCUCUUUCUUAAAAUGGAGACGUCCAUCUCUGAGACAACAAAAACGUAAAUAAAUGGAAGAUAAAAGCAAGAAAGACAACCCUAAUAAAGGAGUCAGGACUAAGACUAGUAAUUAUUUCCCCUUAUUUCAUGAUUGUCGAAUGUAGUGCGAGUUAUAAAUAGACAAUUUUUCCCUUAAUUUUUUUCUCCCCUCUUCCUGCAUUUUUGGGUUGACUUUUUGGUCUAGAAUUGGAGAAAAGGGAUCAAAUUUGCAAUUUCAUAGCAGUUUUGGGUAAUACUGAUGAUAUUACAGCGGAGGGAUAGGGGGUGUAAAGUGUCUUUCUGCAGAGCAAUCAUUGUGUUGGAAGUGAGAUUUUCACCCCUGUCAACUUCAAAUCCGUGUAGCAAAAAAUCUAAACGGUCAACCCCCUACAAAAUUAUGAUGAGGAGAUUGCCAAAUGUUGUCCCCAUUGUGCCUAUAAAGAUUGGAACCAACGGAAUGUUGAGCAAAAAGCUACAGCCUGUGAUGUUACAGUCAUUUAACAUUGAAGUCAAUGGGCAAAUAAUUGCUAGUCUGACUCCUGAUGAUAUAAAGAAGCAUGGCCGACUCGGGAUGUUGAUAUUUUUUCAACGGCUUAUUUCCUGAAGUUUUGAAUGGAAAGUGUCAGAAAUGGUGCCAGGGCAAUGUUUCAUAGAGUGGAAUGAUUGACCUCAACACAAGUAUUAAAAAAAAAGAAGCAAAACAGUUUCAAUAUUGGAUGUAUAUGCAAAUCCCCCAGAAAAAGAUCAUGUAAUAACAAAAGAAAUUAUAAAAGAAAAAAAGUAAGAAGAAAAGAAGUAAGAAGAAAUGGCUGGAAAAAAUGAUGAUAGAGCAGCUUUUUCUUGUUACCCACCUCGGAAGAUCAAGUUGGAAAGGGCUAUUGAUAUUGUGGAGACGUUUUCUCACAGAUCUUGCUUAUCAGACAAAGACUAUGCUGGAACACCAUUGAAAGAGUAUUUGCUGUAUGAUAACAACAAGAAAACCCAAGCAUCAAUUUAUUUUAUACUUCUGGGAAAGAAUGCAUUUGACCCAAUUUUUAAAUAUUUAUUUUUUGUUAUUAAUGUUAAAUUUUCUUCCAAAACACAAUUAGAUUUUAAUUCUCUUCAGAAAUGUAUGUAUAAUAUAGCAAGUAAAGUGGCAUAUAAAUCACUUAGAAUUUGGUCAGAAAUCAUAAAGUAUUUAAUAGGCAUUACUAGAAACCAAAUGUAGAUCAAAUACA